AUUGAACGCUGGCGGCAGGCCUAACACAUGCAAGUCGAGCGAGCGGCGGACGGGUGAGUAAUGUAUGGGGACUGCCCGAUAGAGGGGGAUAACUACUGGAAACGGUAGCUAAUACAGCAUACGAUCGGAUAACCCAUAUGGGAUUAGCGAGUAGGUGAGGUAAGGUCUGACCAAGGCGACACUCCCUAGCUGGUCUGAGAGGAUGAUCAGCCAAACUGGGACUGAGACCCGGCCCAGACUCCUACGGAGGCAGCAGUGGGGAAUAUUGCACAAUGGGCGCAAGCCUGAUGCAGCCAUGCCGCGUGUAUGAAGAAGGCCUUAGGGUUGUAAAGUACUUUCAGUCGGGAGGCGUUACCGACAGAAGAAGCACCGGCUAACUCCGUGCCAGCCGCCGCGGUAAUUC
rnacentral:rRNA from 1 species